UCCGGAAACGGGUGCUAAUACCGCAGUAGUUUUCUUGAUCGCAUGAUCGGGAAAGGAAAGACGGCCUUUGUGCGUGUCGCUUAUGGAUGGACCUGCGGCGUAUUAGUUAGUUGGUGAGGUAACGGCUCACCAAGACGAUGAUACGUAGCCGACCUGAGAGGGUGAUCGGCCACAUUGGGACUGAGACACGGCCCAAACUCCUACGGGAGGCAGCAGUAGGGAAUCUUCCGCAAUGGACGAAAGUCUGACGGAGCAACGCCGCGUGAGUGAAGAAAAGGGUUUUCGGAUCGUAAAACUCUGUUGUCAGAGAAGAACAAGUUGGAGAGUAACUGCUCCAGCCUUGACGGUAUCUGACCAGAAAGCCACGGCUAACUACGUGCCAGCCGCCGC
rnacentral:rRNA from 1 species